UUCAGCAUAUAGAAUCCAGCUACAUAAAGCUCCGUCUGGGGAGCCCGGCGCGUUUAACUGUAGAAGUCGAAACUUUUACAACUUCACUAGAAAAACAGAGAAUUAGAGUUUGGCGCAUCAGGGAAACGGUAACAAAGAACUCUUUAAGAAAAGCAGGGCUGCUUCCUAAAAAUGGAAUUUCCAGAUUUGGGGGAACACUGCUCUGAGAAGACCUGCAAGCAGCUAGACUUUCUACCUCUGAAAUGCGAUGCAUGCGGCGAGGUCUUCUGCAAAGACCACUUUGCAUAUAACCAGCACAGGUGUUCCUCUGCAUACAAGAAGGAUGCGCAAGUUCCAGUCUGUCCUCUCUGUAACACUCCCAUCCCAGUGAAGAAGGGAGAGGUGCCGGAUGCUGUUGUUAGUGCCCACAUGGACAGAGACUGCAAACGUGAUUCUGCUCAACGGAAGCAAAAGGUUAGAACCUCUUCCCAGAGCUAUACAGGAUGUAUACAGCAGUUCAAGAUUAAGCAUUAUUGUGAGCUCCUUGCUCCGUAUCGAGUUUAUCUUUAAUCAGGAGGCGCUCAAACACUUUCCUAGCUGGCAACCCAACUUUGGGGAGGACACAGAUUUCCAAAGUUCCUCUUUGCAGGCCCCUAAGAAUUUUGAAGAAAACAGCUAUAUUUAAAUUGUUUAAUAAAAUUUAUACUGUAAGCUCUUCACUGGAUCGUGAGUGCUUUCGGUUGGCUGGGAAGUGUUCUUAACUGUGAUCCCUCUUACUUGCCUGACUGAUGAUUAUUGUUUAUUAAUUUUGUACCCUGCCCUUCAUCCGUAGAUCUCAGGGUGGUUCAAUACAUUAAAUUAUAAUAUAAAAAACACAAAAUACCUAUAAUAAAAACAAACAGCAACAACAACCAACAAUCCCUCUCCCAGAAACACAUUUUAAAGGCCAAAGGUUAUUUAAUAAGUUAAAGGCCUUAUUGAAGGGAAACGGCUGACGUCUAAAGGUGUGCAGUCAAACCUUGGUUGUCGAAUGUAAUCUGUUCCGGAAGCCCUUUCAGCUUCUGAAAUGUUUGACAGUAUACCUGAAGGAGCGUCUCCACCCCCAUCGUUCUGCCCGGACACUGAGUCCAGUGCCGAGGGUCUUCUUGCGGUUCUCUCACUACAAGAAGAAAAGUUACAGGGAACCAGGCAGAGAGCCUUCUCAGUGGUGGCGCCCGCCCUGUGGAACGCCCUCCCAUCAGAUGUCAAAGAGAAAAAGAACUACCAGAUUUUUAGAAGACAUCUGAAGGCAGCCCUGUUUAGGGAGGCUUUUAAUGUUUAAUAGAUUAUUGUAUUUUACUUUUCUGUUGGAAGCCACCCAGAGUGGCUGGGGAAACCCAGCCAGAUGGGAAGGGGUAUAAAUAAAUUAUUAUUAUUAUUAUUAUUAUUAUUAUUAUUAUUAUUAUUAUUAUUAUGUA